AGUGAACGCUGGCGGUAGGCCUAACACAUGCAAGUCGAACGGCAGCACAGUAAGAGCUUGCUCUUACGGGUGGCGAGUGGCGGACGGGUGAGGAAUACAUCGGAAUCUACUUUUUCGUGGGGGAUAACGUAGGGAAACUUACGCUAAUACCGCAUACGACCUACGGGUGAAAGCAGGGGAUCUUCGGACCUUGCGCGAUUGAAUGAGCCGAUGUCGGAUUAGCUAGUUGGCGGGGUAAAGGCCCACCAAGGCGACGAUCCGUAGCUGGUCUGAGAGGAUGAUCAGCCACACUGGAACUGAGACACGGUCCAGACUCCUACGGGAGGCAGCAGUGGGGAAUAUUGGACAAUGGGCGCAAGCCUGAUCCAGCCAUACCGCGGGGGUGAAGAAGGCCUUCGGGUUGUAAAGCCCUUUUGUUGGGAAAGAAAAGCAGCAGGUUAAUACCCCGCUGUUCUGACGGUACCCAAAGAAGAAGCACCGGCUAACUUCGU
rnacentral:rRNA from 1 species